CUCAUAUUGAGAUCAACACUAAUGAAUAAGAGUUAAAUAGGCUCUAAGAUACAUACAAAAAUUUCAUAAGCAAAAUAUAUGUGUUAAAUGACUAAUCUAAUCACACGAUGACAAGAUAUUUAUAAGGUUGAGAGGAUGCUAAAUUUGUUGAGAGGAUGCUGAAUUUGGUGAUAACAAUCACAAUCCCCUUGCUCAAAAUAGAACACUAACAAAUUGAAUUCAUCUUAGACAUUUCAAAAAACAAUGAAGUACAAACCUGAAACAAAUUAAAAAUUAAUGACAUAACGUAAGUAAAGAAAAAGAACAUGAACAAAAUGAAUACACUAUCAAAAGAUAAUAUAUCUCAACUUGAGCAAUGAUGGAGUGAACAAAACACAAAGAUGACACGGUGGCUUUCGAGGGGGGCGUUUGGAGAUCGAUUUUCCAAGUAAGGUUGCAACCAUAAAAGUGAGAUUUAUAGGCACUGGAUGAGGUGAAAGACGAUCAACUAAAGAGGGACUUGUAAAGGUGCAAUGCCAUUGGAAUCUUUGACAAAUGAAAACUGAUGGCCUUUCUUGAUCACCAUCCUUGUUUCCGGACUCAUUUUGAGGAGAGGUAGCCAUGCCAACAAACACAAGGAUGAGAUUAGUAAAAAAAACCAAUAUAAAUCAAAUUAUGAGGCGGUGAAGGGGAUGCAUAUAUAGGAAAAUAAGACGCUGGGAAAGUUCACAUAUAGAAACCAAUAAACAUAGACUUUGUUAAGUCAAAUUAUUUCUCCCUUUAAAACAAAUUAUAAGUAACAAUAGAUUAGAUGACGUAUGUUAAACCACUCUUGUGUGUUUAGGAGAGCUCUCAAAGGAAGAAGCUCUUUUACGUUCUAGUGUCUCUUUCCAUAGAUUGUAAAUGUAAUGUGGGUGUUGGUUUUAUUCGACAAGUUUUGUUAUGUGUUUGAGGAAUUGUAUUAGUACUUUUAUUUAUACUAGGAUUUAGUGUUUCCCCUAUUAUCUCCCAUGCCGGUUAUUUUAAAUGAUCUUCAAUGAAUGAUGGGAGCAUGUUAUUCUAACAUUAUUUUAGAAGUUGAUUUCCAACCGGUGUCUUUUUGUAGAACCCAUAUAGUUGAUAUGUGGUUUCAAAAGCUGUGAUAUGUAAUUGUCGUUCCUCAACUUAAGUAUCAUGUGUGGAAGAUAUUAGUGUAGUUGUUAGGAUAAAUGAUUGAUGUGGUAAUGUCAUAUUGGUUGCUACUUUCUCAAAGUAAAUUGUUUAUCGUUGUUCAAAUCUUAGUUGACUUAGAUCUUG
rnacentral:lncRNA from 1 species